UUCUUCGUAUUGUAUUCGUCUCCUUCUGUGUCCUCUUUUGAUAACAAAAUACACCUUUAGCUCAAAUCAGUGACGUUAAAAAUUGAGUUUCGAACAUCCAAAUUAAGUUCAGAGCAGGAACUUACAAGUCUAAAGUUUCAGUAUCAAUACGCAGACUGAUAUUGAUCCACUGGUACGCUGUAAAACAGAAGGUGAAACAUGGAGUUGUAUUUGGAAUAAACUUUGGAAACUUUGUUUGGUGUUUAUAGAGAUGUCACCGAGAACAUGUGUAACAUCUUCCGCGCAGGAUUUGUGCCGUGGAUCAUACUCUCCGUGACUCUCGCCUCAGGCUCCGUUGACAAGAUAAACAUCACAGCUGAGUCUGGACAGAACAUCACUCUGCCAUGUCGAGCUCACAACAAUCAGAAGCCCAUCAUAGUUGUAGAGUGGAUCAGAUCUGAUUUGGGGGCAGGUUACGCCUUGUUGUUCCAGGAUGGGCACUUUGUUCCAGAUGACCAGCAUCCAUCUUUUAAGAAUCGGGUGGAUCUUCAGGACAGGCAGAUGAAGGAUGGAGACGUGUCUUUGAUUCUGAACAACUUGACGCCUGCUGAUAGUGGAACAUAUGAAUGUCAUGUCUUCACGCAAGGAGCAAACCAGAGGGAGAGAGCAACAGAGCACACUAGUACCAUCGAGCUAAAAAUUAUUCCUCUUAUUCAGAUAAACACGACAGCUGGGCAGACUGUCAUUCUGCCAUGUCAAGUUCCAAACCUCAACAGCGAUCCCAGUGUGGUUGUAGAGUGGAGCAGAACCGAUCUGGGGACAGAACAUGUCUUUUUUUACCAGGACCAGAAGUUCAUUCCAGACAAACAGCAUCCAUCUUUUAAGAACAGAGUGGAUCUGCAGGACAGACAGAUGGAGGAUGGAGACGUGUCUUUGAUUCUGAACAAUGUGACAAUUAAUGACACUGGAACAUACGAGUGUUGUGUCUUCAUGGGAAAAACAAAACACAGAAGGAGAGCUAAACUGGAUAGUGACCUCAUCAGUGUUGUCAACCUGAGAGUUGAUCCUCCAGGUCCACCAGGAGGAGACACAGAGGAUGGAGGGAAGGAGGAUGGAGUCAAUAGAUAUAAAGUCCUACCAUGCUACUGAAAUAGGGGAGGCAUCAUUAGAUGAUGACUACCAUUUGCGUUGGCGGACUGUCCCUGGCACUGCCCUCUGAAACCACUGCACCACCCUUCCCCUGCAGCUGAGCCACCGACUACACUGUGACCAGAUCUGGGGCACCCUUUUGGAUGUGAUCGAUUAAGGAGCUGGUGGUAAUAACCAGUCAGCCUCAAAAGAUGUUUCACCUGCUUUUUGGUCUUGAAAAGUUUUUUGAGGUGCUUUUUUGAUAUUUAAUAGAUCGGAUAACAUUUUUUAUUUCCCUCCGAUAUCCGAUCCAGUAAUUUACGUCAGUAUCGGACCGAUACCGAUACGUAAUAUCGGAUCGGUCCAUCUCUACCCCAGAUACUGUAAGGCCUUCUGUCCAACAGCACACUUCUUCGUGUUGGCCGUGAGCCCCACCUGUUUCAGGAACUCCAGGACUGCAGCCACCAACUUUAAAUGCUCCCCCCAGGUGUCAUGAUGGAUGGUGACGCCAUCCAGAUAGAUAGCAGCAUAAGCAGAGUGUGCGAGAUUCCAUCCAGCAGAGCUGUCGUCCUCCUCACAGCUCAGAGACACAAAGUCUCCUUUAAAGAACUGAGAGCUGCUGGGACUCACAGUCAGACGAGCUGUGAAGAGGAUGUUUUGGGAUAUUAUGUAAGCAAAAUAAAUUUCUGCUCCACUGUAUUUUGGAUUCAAACAUUGUACUCCUUGUCAUUUAUUUAAUUACUAUGUGAUGCUACGUUAUUAUAGACAAAAUUACUCAGCAGUACAUAAGUAACCAUCUCAAGCUGCAACAUUUGAAACACACAUAAAUCAAUAAUUAUGAUCCAUUAUCAUCUAUAUGAUUUUGAAGAAUAAGUACUAUUUCUUUAAGUAUAUUAGUUUUGUAUGAUUUUUUUAAGCAGGAUUCUGACCUUUACCAAUCUAAAAACGUAAUUCACCCCUGCUAAAACAGUUAUUUCAUGCUGUUUAAACUUCUGUGCAGCCAUAUGUAUAGUUGCUGUAUAUUAACGUAUAGUUCAAUAUUUCUGUAUCAAUUUACGGUACUGUAUUUACUUAAUUAUGAUUUCCUGUUGGCCCUCAUCCUAUUUCUCAGUAUCCUCAAUGAAAACUGGUCUAACGGUGCGUUCACACCAAGCGUGAUAGACGCGACCAAAAAGCGCCCCUAGCUGGUCGCGUGCACAUUCGCACCUCGAAGCGCGUCCAAAGCGAACUGGUCUUGCAAUUUUAUGCAAUAUGCAAUUUUCACGUGCGUGAAGUGGAAAUGUGGGAGGAAGUAGUGCCAGACGCAGUAGUGGUUUUUGAUACGUCGUAUCAAAAAAACCCAAAAAACAUUUGCUUGUACUCAUGCUGCCCCAACGUCAUGCCAGUGCAUACUGGGAAUGGCAUAGGCACCUUGAUUAUAAAUAUCAAGGAUUAACAGAGGUGAUUAUGAAUAAAUAUCAAGAAAAUUGACGAGAAUAUUCCAGAGUAGAAAAGAGCGUGUGUGUAAAAAGGGUGUAACUAUUACAGUGUUUACAGUGUAUUAGAUGGAGUAGUUGUACAGGGAGAUGGCCACAGGCAGGAAUGAUUCAGGGGAGAAGGAGGAGAAAAAUAAGAACAUUGUUUCUGCCCUGGAGAGCCUGCUGCCUCAUCAGAACACUACUGAUGGCUAGAAUGAAGGGCUUUGGCUGGACCUGCCCCUUUGAACUAGGUCAGAGCAUCACGUCACCAGGCUCCUGAUUGGUUGUCGCGGCGCGACUUGACGCUGUAGUUCAGAUUUUUCCAACUCGACCGGUAGACGCGAUAAGCGCGAAUGCACAAAAUGCACCACACAAACUGCAGCGUGUAUUUUACUUCGCGCUUCAAACGUGUCAGUCACGCUACUUGGUUGCGCGAAUCAGGCAGAAAAGCGUUUUCGCAACGCAAAUCUGCUUCUGAGGUUUUGCGCGAUCCCCAGUCGCGCUUCAUCACACUCCUCCAUUGACUUUACAUGUAAACCUGAAGCUCUGGUCACGUCUAUCGCAUUCGGUGCGAACACACCGUAAUACACCUCUGAUUCCACACCAAACUUGAUGUUUGUGAUGAAGAAACAAUAGACUUUUAUAGAUAAUCAUUACAUGUCUUCUUCAUCCCACUCUCAGUGAUAUCAGAUCAACACUUUGACCAGUUCACAGUCUGUUAAAGUUGAACCCACCUCCUCUUACUCUGUGCCAAUAUUGUGGUUUUCAGUGUAAGCAAAGGUUUCUCUGUCAGUCUGCAACAAAUACGAGAGAAAAACCUUUAAAAUAGUUAAACUGUCUGAUAACUGAGUGUAAAGAUGAGCAGAAACAAAUGGUUACCUCUGUGAUGCUCUCAGACUAAACAACCAUUGUGGGUGAGUGGCUGAAGUCAGUCAGGAAACCGCACAACGAAAAUGAAUAUAUGAAAACAUGUCAGUACCUGUGAGAUGCCUUCAUUGACACUUCUCCAUGUUCAAGAUUUGUGGGCAAACCUUUCUUUUUUAAUAUGAGAGAAUCUCAACAGUAAUUAUUAAAGAGUUUGAUUAAUUUUU